rnacentral:rRNA from 1 species
UACGAAGGGGGCUAGCGUUGCUCGGAAUCACUGGGCGUAAAGGGCGCGUAGGCGGCCUCUUAAGUCAGGGGUGAAAGCCUGAGGCUCAACCUCAGAACUGCCUUUGAUACUGAGAGUCUCGAGACCGGUAGAGGUAAGUGGAACUGCGAGUGUAGAGGUGAAAUUCGUAGAUAUUCGCAAGAACACCAGUGGCGAAGGCGGCUCGCUGGGCCGGACCUGACGCUGAGACGCGAAGGCGUGGGGAGCGAACGGG